CACUCUGAAAAGCUUAAUUUUGAACAAAAGUAUUUUCUCUGUUUUUGAAGAGAGAAAUUACUCGAAACCUCUGCCCUAAUUCCACCUUCUUUCGUUCUCUCGUUCAACAUAUGGAUUGAGCUCCGAAAAUGGCGCAUGUUUCAAAUUUCUCAUUGCCCGAGAUCCUCCCUGUCCGUUAUCAUAAUUCAAAGCUCCUCUAGAUUUUUCAGGAUUUGGGUUCUUACCAAUAAGUACCCUGUCAAGAAUGCGUACAAAGACAGUUCCGUUGCGUAGCUUUUCUGGACAAAAAGCGCCCAAGUUCCGGCCACCAGUGCGCACAAUGAUCCGGCUGCAAUGCCACACAGGAAGCAGAACGAGCUAGUGAGCAAUUUGCACACGAGAACAUGAACUCAUCCACGUCUCCUGUAAGCAAACCUGUGGCACGAGCCAAACCCCGGAUAACACCAAGAACCGGAACAAGAAUUGAGCCAAAGCACACUCUCCCUAUCGAGUUCAUA